CCUUCCCUUGGAUAAGGGAAGGUGGAUCCUCGGCUAUCGGCCGAGGAGACGGAAGGGAUUGGAGUUCCAAGUCCUGGGAAAGAAC
rnacentral:tRNA from 1 species